rnacentral:lncRNA from 1 species
UUCAGGGUCUCCCACGUCAGUGUAGAGGCCCAAGCACUUGCGCCAUCCUCUGCUGCUUUCCCAGGCCAUAAUAGAGGGCUGGAUCAGAAGUGGAGCAGCUGGCACUGCAGGCGGCAACUUUACCUGCUAUGCCACAGCACUGGCCCCUGUUUUUAAUUUUUGAGAUAACAUUUUCAUUAUAAGAGCUUUGUAUUAACAGUUUACAUUAUAGUCAAAGGCUUAAUGCUCUACUUAAUAAAGAAUUCAGCAAGUAAAAUGUGAAAAACAUAGUUAAGCAGGAAUAUACACAAGUACUAUAAACAAAAAAAAAGCCAUCAGUUUCACUCAUAAGUAAAUUUUAGAAAUAAUUAAGAUCAUUAAAAUUAUAGUAGUAUAUCAUUCUUAACCAUUUGUGUUUGACAAAGAUAUAAAACAAUGUGACAAAACUAUUUGCAGAAAUAUUGAUCAUUUUCUUUUUAAAAAAAAGAAACAUAUUUAGGGGCCGUCGCAGUAGCAUAGUAGGUUAAUCCUCUGCCUGCAGGUAGUGUCGACAUCCCCUGUGAGCACCUGUUCAUUUCCUGGCUGCUCCUCUUCCUACUCAGCUCUCUGGUAUGACCUGGGAAAGCAGUGGAGGAUGGCCCAAGUGCUUGGGCACCUACACCCACAUGGAAUACCUAGAAGAAGCUCCUGGCUCCUGGCUUUGAAUCAGUCCAGCUCUGGCCUUUGCAGCCAUUUAGGGAGUGAACCAGCAUAUGGAAGACCUUUCUCUCUCUAACUCUACCCCUCAAAUAAACAAAUGAAAAUCUUAAAAAAAUAUUUAUUUGGAAGAGUUGCAAAGUGUGAGUUUAUUAUUUUCAGAAAACCUAGAAUACCAAGUUAUGGUGAAAGUGACUCAAAAUACUUGGCAAAUAAAUGCCAAGUUAAAUCUGUUAAAAAUUAAUCUAAUCCAUACUUAAUGUAUACUAAGCUGAUCUUCUGUAUAUUAAGAUAAUCGAAAAUGAAUCUUGAUGUGAAUGGAAGGGGAGAGGGAGUGGGAAAGGGGAGGGUUGUGGGUGGGAGGGACGGUAUUGGGGGGAAGCCAUUGUAAUCCAUAAGUCGUACUUUGGAAAUUUAUAUGCAUUAAAUAAAAGUUAAAAAAAAAAAAAAUUAAUCUAAAAU